UUAAUUAUAUUUUUGUGUUUGACAAGACCUUCGGACUUGUGCCUACGUACCAACAUAAAAAUAAGGGAUCAAAACCUCGUAGUUCGUGCUACAAAUUUCCAAGUGUAUGCAUUGAUUUUAACAAAAAUUAAGUUUGAAAGGCACAAAGGCAUAAAGUGGUUUGAAUGAGUUAUUUCUUUUUGGCUUUUUGAAAGUUUAAGUCAAGUAUAGUUAAGUUUAUUCACAUAUUUGAUUUAAGAAAGUAAGUUUGGAAAUGCAAUGGCAUAAGGCCAAAGUUUCUUUUUUUUUUUGUUGUAAAAGUGGUCAAAGUUUAGAAUAAAAAUAGUUCACACAAAGAAGAUUUUGAAAAUGGAGGGAGAGAUUUUGAAAUUAAAGAAAUGGGGAGAAGAUGAAGAGACUACCCUAUGCACAAAAUUUAAAAGUUUGUAGUUGAAAAGAUCUGACAAAAUGGGUAGCAAUCCAAUAGAUAAAAAUGUCAAUAGAAACCCAGAAUCCUCU
rnacentral:lncRNA from 1 species